rnacentral:rRNA from 1 species
UACGAAGGGGGCUAGCGUUGUUCGGAAUUACUGGGCGUAAAGCGUGCGCAGGCGGUUGGGCAAGACAGAUGUGAAAUCCCCGGGCUUAACCUGGGAACUGCAUUUGUGACUGCCCGGCUAGAGUGUGUCAGAGGGGGGUAGAAUUCCACGUGUAGCAGUGAAAUGCGUAGAUAUGUGGAGGAAUACCGAUGGCGAAGGCAGCCCCCCUGGGAUAACACUGACGCUCAUGCACGAAAGCGUGGGGAGCAAACAGG